UACGGAGGGUGCAAGCGUUAUCCGGAUUCACUGGGUUUAAAGGGUGCGUAGGUGGGCAGGUAAGUCAGUGGUGAAAUCUUUGGGCUUAACCAGAAAACUGCCAUUGAUACUAUUUGUCUUGAAUAUUGUGGAGGUCAGCGGAAUAUGUCAUGUAGCGGUGAAAUGCUUAGAUAUCGGGAGGAACACCGGUGGCGAAGGCGGCGACCUGGGUAGAGACUGACGCUGAGGUGCGAAAGCGUGGGGAGCAAACAGG
rnacentral:rRNA from 1 species